rnacentral:sRNA from 1 species
GGCUUGUGUUCGGAGCCUUGCCGGGGCUGGGGUUCCGAUGUGGUCCCCGGAGCGGGAGGCCGAGGCCCCGGCCGGGGGAGACCCGGCGGGCCUACUGCCCCCAGAGUGGGAGGAGGACGAGGAGCGCAUGUCCUUCCUGUUCUCCGCUUUCAAGAGGAGUCGCGAGGUGAACAGCACCGACUGGGACAGCAAGAUGGGCUUCUGGGCACCGUUGGUCCUGAGCCACAGCCGCCGCCAGGGGGUGGUGCGCCUGCGUCUGCGGGACUUGCAGGAGGCCUUUCAGCGCAAGGGGAGCGUCCCGCUGGGGCUGGCCACGGUGCUGCAGGACCUACUGCGGAAAAGGCUGAGGAGGUGUAUCGUCUGUAUCAGAGCUCGCCCCUCUCCUCGCACCCCGUGGUGGCCCUGUCAGAGCUCAGCACCCUCUGUGCUAACUCCUGCCCAGAUGAGAGGACCUUCUACUUGGUGUUGCUGCAGCUGCAGAAGGAGAAGAGGGUCACAGUCCUCGAGCAGAACGGGGAGAAGCAGCUGGCACUGAGGUCUCUCAAGGCCAAGCAACGGACAGAGAAGCGCAUCGAGGCCUUGCAUGCCAAGCUGGACACUGUUCAAGGCAUCCUGGACCGGAUCUACGCCUCCCAGACAGAUCAAAUGGUAGUCACUGCCCUCUGCUCUAGCACUCGGCUGGUCUCUCUG